rnacentral:rRNA from 1 species
UACGGGGGGAGCAAGCGUUGUUCGGAUUUACUGGGCGUAAAGGGCGCGUAGGCGGUCAGCACAAGUCAGUUGUGAAAUCUCCGGGCUUAACUCGGAAAGGUCAACUGAUACUGUGCGACUAGAGUGCGGAAGGGGCAAUUGGAAUUCUCGGUGUAGCGGUGAAAUGCGUAGAUAUCGAGAGGAACACCUGCGGCGAAGGCGGGUUGCUGGGCCGACACUGACGCUGAUGCGCGAAAGCCAGGGGAGCGAACGGG